rnacentral:snRNA from 1 species
AUCGCUUCUCGGCCUAUUGGCUAAGAUCAAAGUGUAGUAUCUGUUCUUAUCAGCUUAAUCUCUGAUACGUGGUCAAUUGAUCACUCCGAGAUUAUUCUAUUUUUGGGACCUUGGCGGGUUCGCAGGGGCUUGCUCCUCGCCCGCCGCGGGUCGACCCGGUAUUGUACCUGCCUCCGGGAACGGCCCAUUCCCC